GACGUAGGGAGCGAGCGUUUUCCGGAUUCAUUGGGCGUAAAGAGCGCGCAGGCGGCUUGGUAAGUCGGAUGUGAAAACCCGGAGCUCAACUCCGGGCGUGCAUCCGAAACUGCCCGGCUAGAGGUAGGUAGGGGAGAUCGGAAUUCCUGGUGUAGCGGUGGAAUGCGCAGCUAUCAGGAGGAACACCGGUGGCGAAGGCGGAUCUCUGGGCCUUACCUGACGCUCAGGCGCGAAAGCUAGGGGAGCAAACAGG
rnacentral:rRNA from 1 species